rnacentral:rRNA from 1 species
AUGGAUGGGAUUGAUCUAGGCUUGCGUAGCCGGCUAACUUUAACUGCUUCCAAUAAACUUGCUUCCUUGAGAUUGUUGUUGCAGGAUGUGCACCUCACAGGAGCUCCGGAUGAAAGAUCGUUGCUCAACGGGGCCGCCUUCUCCACCAAGUGCCCCUACGACGCCCUUGCCUCUCAGCUGGCCGACCCAAACCUCGCCCACGUAUGGGACUCGCGGGUCCCUAGCCGGGUGCGGGUGUUUGGAUGGUUAUUCUAUCUCGGCAGGCUUAACACUCGAGCCAAUCUACGCCAUAAGUCCAUCAUCGAGUCAUCAUCUUGUCCCCGUUGCGACGGUGCGCCAGAAGAUCGUGCUCACCUUUUCUUCACUUGCCCCGCUGCUGUUGCCAUAUGGGAUGCACUUGGACUACAACCAGUUUCCUCACCGCUGGUGGAACCGUGGAGCUCGCCAUGCCACCCCACCCUGCCGCAGUCUGUGUGGCCCUUCAUUCUGUUGCUAUUGCUCUGGAAAAUCUGGGAUGCACGGAAUGCCAUGACCUUUAGAGGGGUUAACCAAACCCCACAUGAUGUAAUUAGGGCAGUAAUCUCCAACCUCGCACUCUGGUCACACCGCCUAUCAAAGGUGGACCAAAAAAUCCACGCCAGAUUGUGGCAGGAUUUUUUAUCCUCUCGCCUUGCCUAA